AGACCGAUAGCGAACAAGUAGAGUGAUCGAAAGGUUAAAAGCACCUUGAAAAGGGAGUUAAAUAGCACGUGAAAUUGUUGAAAGGGAAGCGCUUGCAACCAGACUCGGUCGUGGGGGCUCAGCGGGCAUGCGUGCCCGUGUACUCCCCCAUGCUCCGGGCCAGCAUCAGUUCUGGCGGUUGGUUAAAGGCCUCUGGAAUGUAUCGUCCUCCGGGACGUCUUAUAGCCAGGGGCGCAAUGCGGCCAGCCGGGACUGAGGAACGCGCUUCGGCACGGAUGCUGGCAUAAUGGUUGUAAGCGGCCCGUCUUGAAACACGGACCAAG
rnacentral:rRNA from 1 species